rnacentral:pre_miRNA from 1 species
AUCCCCUGGGGAUCUUGUCAAAAUGCAGAUUCUGAUCCAGUAGGUCUGGGGAGGGGCCCAAGACUCUGCAUUUUUAAUGAGCUCCCAGAGGAUGCUGA